rnacentral:rRNA from 1 species
CCUACGGGUGGCAGCAGUGAGGAAUAUUGGUCAAUGGGCGGAAGCCUGAACCAGCCAAGUCGCGUGAGGGAAUAAGGCCCUACGGGUCGUAAACCUCUUUUGCCGGGGAGCAAGGGCGGGGACGUGUCCCGGCCCGGAGAGUCCCCGUCGAAAAAGCAUCGGCUAACUCCGGGCCAGCAGCCGCGGUAAUACGGGGGAUCCGAGCGUUAUCCGGAUUUAUGGGGGUAAAAGGGUGCGUAGGGGGACUUUUAGGCCAGCGGUAAAAGUUCGGGGCUCAACCCCGUCGGUCCGUUGAAACUGGGGGGCGGGAGUGAGCGAGAAGAAGGCGGAAUGCGUGGUGUAGCGGUGAAAUGCAUAGAUAUCACGCAGAACCCCGAUUGCGAAGGCAGCCUUCCGGCGCCCUACUGACGCUGAGGCACGAAAGUGCGGGGAUCGAACAGGAUUAGAUACCCUAGUAGUC